AUUUAUUGGUCAAGCUACAAAGGGUUUAUGCACGGAUGACUUGGUUAGAUGAGGCGAUGAAGGACGGGGUAAGCACCGAUAUUCCUCGGGGAGUAGCAAACAUGCUUUGAUCCGGGGGAUUCCGAAUGGGGCAACCUGCCGCGGGUUAUACUGCGGUAUCCCUUUUAUGAAUACAUAGUGAAAGGGAAGCUAUACCAGGCGAAUUGAAACAUCUAAGUAACCUGAGGAAGAGAAAUCACAGAGAUUCCCCUAGUAGCGGCGAGCGAAGAGGGAACAGCCUAAACUGAUUUUCCGCAAGGAAGAUCAGGGUUGUGGGACCUUAAUGUGGGAUUGUGGAUGGAUAGUAGAAGUAUCUGGAAAGAUACGCCAUAGAGAGUGAAAGCCUCGUAUAUUAAAUUCUGAAGCACCCUAAAGGUAUCCCAAGUACUACGGGACACGGGAAAUCCUGUAGGAAUCUGGGCCGACCACGGUCUAAGGCUAAAAACUACAUCUAAACCGAUAGUGCACAAGUACCGUGAGGGAAAGUUGAAAAGAACCCCGGUGAGGGGAGUGAAAUAGAACCUGAAAUCAUAAACCUACAAGCGGUAGGAGGGCUAUGUCCUCGGCUUCGGCUGAGGAAAUGCCUGACUGCGUACCUUUUGCAUAAUGGACCGACGAGUUACUGUGCGAUGCGAGCUUAAGGCGUUCAGCGCUGCAAGCGUAGCGAAAGCGAGUCCUAAUAGGGCGAUUAGUAUCGUAUAGUAGACCCGAAACUGAGUGAUCUACCCAUGGCCAGAGUGAAGCUUUCCGAAAGGAGAGUGGAGGCUCGAACCCGUCAAUGUUGAAAAAUUGUGGGAUGAGCUGUGGGUUGGAGCGAAAGACUAAACAAACUCAGAAAUUGCUGGUUCUCCCCGAAAUAUUUCUAGGGAUAGCCUCAAGAAUUGAAUAAUGGGGGUAGAGUACUGAAUGGGUUACAGGGUCUUACCAGACUGCUGGACCCAACCAAACUUCGAAUACCAUUAUUUUUAUCUUGGGAGUAAGACGUUGGGGGCUAAGCUCCAUCGUCUAAAGGGUAUCAGCCCAGACCUUCAGCUAAGGUCCCUAAAGAUAGGCUAAGUGGUAAAGGAUGUGAGCUCGCUAAAACAACCAGGAUGUUGGCUCAGAGGCAGCCAUCAUUUAAAGAGUGCGUAACAGCUCACUGGUCGAGCGACCUCGCGCCGAAAAUAAUCGGGGCUUAAGCCUAUUACCGAAGCUAAGGGUUUUGCCGCGCAAGCGGCAAAGCGGUAGGGGAGCAUAGUCCAACGAGUGAAGUCAUACCGUAAGGAGUGAUGGACGUUGGACUAGAGAUUAUGUCGGUAUAAGUAGCGAAAAUGUCUGCGAGAAACAGACACGCCGAAAGUCCAAGGUUUCCUGGGGAAGGUUAAUCCGCCCAGGGUUAGUCGGGCCUAAGCCGAGGCCGUAUGGCGUAGGUGAUGGACAAUCCGUUAAUAUUCGGAUACCAGUUUUAUGGCGUUAUUACUGUUUGUGUGACGCGAGGUGUGUUUAGUGCGGCGCAGUGUUGGAUGUCUGCGUUAUCCCCUGAGUAAUCAGGAGAUGGGACCCCAAGGUUUCCGCGGGGGAAGUGUUUUACAACAUGCUGCCAAGAAAAGCACAAAUAGAAGUCGUAUAACUGACCGUACCGUAAUCCGACACAGGUAGACCUCCAGAAUAUGGUAAGGCGCUCGAGAGAACUCUCGUUAAGGAACUCGGCAAAAUAGCCUCGUACGUUCGCAAUAAGAGGUGCCUCUUCAUGAAAGUGAAGGGGUCACAGUAAAGUGGCUCGGGUGACUGUUUAGCAAAAACACAGCACUCUGCAAACUCGAAAGAGGAAGUAUAGGGUGUGACACCUGCCCGGUGCUGGAAGGUUAAGAAGAGGGGUUAGCCGGUCGUAAGAUUAGCGAAGCCCUGAUCCGAAGCCCCAGUAAACGGCGGCUGUAACUAUAACAGUCCUAAGGUUAACGUAAACGCUAGCCUGCUCCGUUUAUCGGAGAAUAAUUACCAACUAUAUGCGGGGAUAUCCUCAAAAAAUACUGAUACUAGCUUAGCUUUUUGGCUGGAGCAGUAAAAAUGCAGUAUUCACGGGGACAAUCCGCAGGGAAGUCAGAAAGGAGUAACACAUGACCCCUCAGAGACCAAACGUUGGAGAUCCCGGCAGAGUUUCGAGGUUGACAUCUGAAUGGAUAGUAGGUUUUAUCGAUGGAGAAGGAUGUUUUCAUGUUGGAAUUAGCAAACAUGAGGAUUUGAAAUCCGGUUUCCAGAUUUUGCCUGAACUAACCGUAGUUCAACAUAAACGCGAUAUUGAUCUGUUGUAUGAAUUGCGUUCAACAAUGAACUGUGGUGUAGUAAGGAGGAAUCACGGUGAUAGAUUCUGCUGGAGGGUGAGGAAGCUUGAAAAUCUCUCCAGAAUUAUAAUCCCGUUUUUCGAUAAAAAUCCACUACGCUCUAAAAAAUCAUUAGAGUAUAUAAAGUUCAGGAAAGUUGUUUUGAUGAUGCUAAGAGGAGAGCAUCUUACAAAAGAAGGUUUUUGUGAGAUCUCUAGGAUUGCAUCAGAUAUGAAUAGAUGCCAACCGAGAACAAUGCCAGAUUUAAGAGAGAGUCCAUCCCAGGAUGAAAAUUCUGGACAAUGAUGAGCGAAAUUCCUUGUGGGGUAAGUUCCCACGCGCACGAAUGGUGUAACAACCUGAGCGCUGUCUCAACGAGAGACUCGGCGAAAUUGUAGUGGCGGUGA
rnacentral:rRNA from 1 species